rnacentral:rRNA from 1 species
AACGUAGGUGGCGAGCGUUAUCCGGAUUUACUGGGCGUAAAGGGCGUGCAGGCGGUUUGUUAAGUCUAGGGUGAAAGCUCCCGGCUCAACUGGGAGAGGUCCUUGGAUACUGGCGAACUUGAGGGAUGCAGAGGAAAGUGGAAUUCCCGGUGUAGUGGUGAUAUGCGUAGAUAUCGGGAGGAACACCAGUGGCGAAGGCGGCUUUCUGGGCAUUUCCUGACGCUGAGACGCGAAAGCGUGGGGAGCGAACCGG